GAGGAGAGGACUUACUUGGGUGUGCCACUGGGCUUCCAGUAUCUACAAAAGAGGUACUGUCCGUCUGCAUUGACCAGGGUCCUACUCUCUAGCACCGUCUGGCUUGGAACUCAUAGAUAUUUACCUGUCUGCAUCCUAAGUGCUGGGAUCAAAGAUCCGUGCCGCCAUACCCAGAAUAACAUUGGAUUUAUACAAUCAAGAAAAGGGAAUCAACAGCAAAGGAUUGGUGAGCUGCAGAAAUCCUCAUGGAUUGUUGUCUUCUCACACAGCAGAAGACGUCAGGGACCCCUUUCAUUCUGAGCACAGCAGGGAAGUCACUAGCAGUCCUUGCCUGUGUUGUGCACACAGAAACCUCCAGAACAGGACAUCUCUAGAUCUCUAGACGCAACCAACUCGAACAAGAAAUUGCCUGUGGCAGGCUCUUCUGUAACUACCAGGACCUGGCGAGGGGACAAUUUGAGAAAAAGUGUCAUCUUUCUACCCACUCAAGAGCUUUUAUGUGGCCUGCAAUGCCCUGAGGCUUGAAGACAUUGGUCACGCUGGAAAUCCCAGUGAAGAAGGGAAAGAACACACUAGAAGGCAGCCAGAACACAAGCACUUCUACCACAGAAACUUCAGUGAAUGUGACUAGACUUCUCACAGUCCUCAGGAUCCCGACUGGUGUAAACCUCUAUUAUAAGUCUUUUGUGGUGGAAGAAAAGUGGAGACCAGGAAUACAAGUUGUGCUUAGAGAAAAACGACAGAGCGGGUGUAAGACUUUGCAUGUGAAGUCAGGUGAAAUGAAGCUGAGUAAUUUGGGCCUCAGAAACUAGUAGUGCUGGCCAGCUGGGUCACUUCCUGGUAAGUUUCUUCACCUCAAUGACCUGCUUUCUCACCUGAAGCAGGGGAAACCCCUAGCCAAGACUAUGACUGUGGUACCUGUGGCUUAGCUCCACUAAACUGCAAGUGUCAAACUUGACACAAGAAAAAGAGCCUUGGCAUAUGAAGUUUUUAAUCUGAAUUUUAGACAAUGUUGAUUACACAUUGCAAACCUAGAUGUCCUGUGCUGGGCAUGUGAGGUAUAAGAUGUUGAUGGGACAGGGUACUUUCUGCUCUAGGACAGUAAGAGGAUGUGUCUCUUUCUGCUGGGACAGGGGGUGCUUGAGCGGCAGCAGGCUUGUGCAUCUGGAAUUGGAGCUCUGAGACUGAAGUCAGCCCAGAAACAGUCCCUGGAGCUGAGAGGGCAUCACCCUUGACUGAGGGAUGGCAGCAGAGGUGUGGCUGGGCAGUGCAGACACUGCUCCUGUCAGCAGGGGACUUGGCCCGUGAGCACAUUUACAAUAUUUGCAUUGCUAACCAAUAUCUAACAACCAUGACAUCUCACCCAGUAAUGCUAGUUAUUGAGUCCUAGCUAGAUUCUCUCUUGCAUUGACAGCAGGUCACAGGUCAGAGCUGCCUCUGGGGAUUGAUUGUUGUCUGCUAGAGAGCCUUGGCUCCCUCCAUGGUCCUUCCUUUAAAAGACAAAUGCCAAACAGAGCACAUCACUCAUUGUAAACCAUUUGUACCUCUCCUUACUUCCCACCCCUCAUCCAGGUUCCCUUGAAAAUAUCCAACUCGGAUUUCCAGGUUGUUUGACUGGGUGGUGCUUUCCUGAGUCACUUACAUGGAGGAAGGGAGGAGGCUUGGGAAGCAGGGGUCAAGUUCAAUGUGGGCUUCUGAAAAACAUUGUUGGUUUCUCUGGGGGAAGCCAACCCGGAAGGCCGGACGAGAUAUACAGUAGGUCAGAGUGGAGGUGAAGGUUUAGGAGUUGCCAUUUGUGAGCAGUGAUGUCAUGAGCAGGCUUUACACAGGGAAUGUGAUCUGGAAGGACGAUGUGUCCUGGGGCGCUUCCUGUGAGAAAGAGAAAAAAAAACGGGAAAGAGUGAUAUAGAAGUGAUAGAUACAGGAGUCACAGGAGCAGGAUUCACAUUCUAAAGUCAUUGCAUGCUCCCAGAAAGAGCCUGAAACUCCCCAGAAGCAAAACAAAAAGCAUUGAGAGUUAUACACUAGGGCCAGCAUCACUGCGAAGUUGGAGAGAACCCACUUCACAGAUGAGUAAGGAGAGACAUCAAUUUGCAUUGACUUACAAAGUGAUUGGAAGCAAGUGUAGACAGUCCUUUCCAGGCUUCUGCAAAGAAGAGGCAACACAGGGAAGAAUGAAGCCACUGGACCCUAGAGCCUGGCCACUAGGACUAAGAUCCUAGCUCUGCUGGCCUGGGACUCCGUGAUCACAAUCAAGUGCAUGGCUCACUUCCUGUCCCUAUACAAGGUCUGUUUUGUGGAAAGAAAUGGAACACUCAGGCUGAGUACUAAGCACAGUGCCUACUGCAGGGUAGGUGAGGUGAAAAGAACUCCAUUAGGCUCGUAGGCACAGUGGAGAGGCAGGGAGAGGCUGUCCAGCUGGUGCUGUUAGAAUCAGAAAGCGACAAGAAGUACAGUGAGUGGGGUGACUCCAAGCAAUGUGUGUGGUGCGUGUCUUAAAAACACUGGAAAUAUCCUGCACGUUUCAUAAUAAAGAAUUGAUAAAGGUUUGCAGCUAU
ensembl:antisense Gm26588 predicted gene, 26588